rnacentral:rRNA from 1 species
CCUACGGGGUGCAGCAGUGAGGAAUAUUGGUCAAUGGGCUUACGCCUGAACCAGCCAAGCCGCGUGAGGGAAGACUGCCCUAGGGGUUGUAAACCUCUUUUGUCAGGGAGCAACGCCGGCUACGUGUAGCCUGACUGAUAGUACCUAAAGACAAAGCAUCGGCUAACUCCGUGCCAGCAGCCGGGGGAAUACGGAGGAUGGGAGCGUGAGCCGGAUUUAUUGGGUUUAAAGGGUGCGUAGGCGGAAUGUGAAUUCAGCGGUAAAAUCACGGGGUUAAACCUCGCUCCGCAGUUGAUCCUGGCGUGCUUGAGUGGGAUAGAAGUAUGCAGAAUGCGUGGUGUAGCGGUGAAAUGCAUAGAUAUCAGGAAGAAUUCCGAUGGCGAAGGCAGCACACCGG